UUUAGAAUGUUGAAAUGUUACAGAGGCCCUGACAUUCUAUUUCUUAAUAGCUUUUUAUUGAGCAUUGAACACAGUUCAGACACACAUCUCUCUGUCGCAAUAGAACGUACACAGAAUACGAAACAGCAAGGUAGGAAAGGUAGGAAAGGUAGGAAAGGCAAGAAGCCAGAUAUCUUAGAGGACAGGACAGGAGGAAUAAGUGAGAGGAGUGAUAGUUCAGAGGACAGGACAGGAGGAACAAGUGAGAGGAUGGAUAGUUCAGAGGACAGGACAAGAGGAAGAAGCGAGAGCGGACAAAAGACAGGGGUCCAGGCUGAACCCUCAGUUGCUUUGCUUGCCCAUCAAGAGUACAUAAGGGAUGAGCUAAAAGACAGCCAUGCGAGGCUCACCAGAGAUACGUCUGAUGGCAGAGUCAAGCUGGAAAUACAAGAGCAUUCGCUGAUUUUAAUACUUGAUCUGCUACAGGAAAAGAACAUUUGGGACAGUGAGAGUCAGCUGAAGGAGAGGGAGAUGUCGGACCUGAAAGCCCAGCUCGAUAAGAGUCAGGCAGGCUGUGAUGGACUUGAAGCACAGACUUCUCACAGCAAGAACCUUCCUGACACAUCGCAGGAAAAGAGUGAAUUGAAGGAUCUGAAAUCACAGCUCCAUACAGUCUCCGAGAUGCUGCAUAACACUCAGACUGACCUUGAAAGGCAGAUUUCCAAAAGCAAAGACAUUCAGAUUAAAUUGGGGAUAGUUGGGGUUGAGAAUGAAGGCCUUCAAAAGGAAGUGGAGGAUAUGAAAUUAGAAGUCCAUGCUGAAAAGAAUCUGCGAGCACUGGCCGAACAACUGGAAGCUGAUCUUGUAUUUGAGAGGGCUCAAGUUCAGAAGCUGCAGCAGACGCUGGAGCGUCAUCAGUUGGAGUGGCAAGAGGAAAAGACAUUUCUCAUUAGUGAACACAGUGCAGAGACCAUGAAGAUCACAUCUGCCCUUAAAGAGGCACAGGAUCUGCUGGAGACUGAGCAACUCCACUGGCAGCAGGAGAAAUCAUCCCUGCUGGAGGAGAUGGAGAAAUCCAGAACUCUCUAUGUGGCUCAGCUGGACGAGCAGAAACACGAGAACACCAACCUUGUGGCUGCUCUGAGGAAAGUUGAGCAGAAGCUGGAGAGUCAUCAGGUGAAGUGGCAGGAGGAACGGACAUCCCUCAUUCAGGCCACAGAAGGCUUCAAGGAGACUGUGCAGGAACUGGCCAAGAGUGAGGAAGAGGCUAGGAAGACUUUAGAAAGAUCCAAGGCUUCCCAUCAACUUCAGAUUAAGGAACACAAAGCAGAGACGAGAAAGAUCGCAUCUGCCCUUAAAGAGGCACAGGAUCUGCUGGUGACUGAGCAACUCCAAUGGCAGCAGGAGAAAUCCUCCCUGCUGGAGGAGAUGGAGAAAUCCGGGGCUCUUUAUGUGGCUCAGUUCGACGAGCAGAAACACAAGAACAACACCCUUGUGGCUUCUCUGAGGAAAGUUGAGCAGAAGCUGGAGAGCCAGAAGGUGAAGUGGCAGGAGGAAAGGACAUCCCUCAUUCAGGCCACAGAAGGCUUCAAGGAGACUGUGCAGGAACUGGCCAAGAGUGAGGAAGAGGCUAGGAAGACUUUAGAAAGAUCCAAGGCUUCCCAUCAACUUCAGACUAAGGAACACAAAGCAGAGACCAGAAAGAUCGCUUCUGCCUUUAAAAAGUUAAAGUAUCUGCUGGAGACUGAGCAACUCCACUGGCAGCAGGAGAAAUCCUCCCUUCUGGAGGCGAUGGAGGAAUCCAGGGCUCUCUAUGCAGCUCAGCUGGACGAGCAGAAACACAAGAACAACACCCUUGUGGCUGCUCUGAGGAAAGUUGAGCAGAAGCUAGAGAGUCAUCAGGUGGAGUGGCAGGAGGAAAGGACAUUCCUCAUUCAGGCUGCAGAAGACUUCAAGAAGACUGUGGAAAGAUCCCACACUUCCAAUCAAUUUCAGAUCAAGGAACACAACGCACAGAACAGGAAGAUCACACCUGCCCAGGAGAAAUCCUCCCGGAUGGAGGAGAUGGAAAAAUCCAGAUCUCACCAUGAGGUCAAGCUGGAUGAGCAGAAACACAACAGCAAAACUGUUAUAUAUGCUCUGAAUACAGUUAAGCAACAGCUUGGCAACCAUCUCUUAGAGUGGCAGGACUUCAAGACCAAGGUGGAUGAGCAGAAACAAGAGAACAGCACCCUCAGGGCUCUUCUGAAGAUGGUUGACAAGACAGAAGCAAAAGACGUCCAUCAGUCAGGACACAAGGUUUCUCAAGAGGAUGCUGCAGGAAAAGGAGCUGGAGUGGGAGGGAAAAGAAAUCUCCACGAUGUUUGAGCUGGAAGAUCUCAUGAGUAUGAAAAAGAAAAAGAUGCAAUGGUAUAGAAAGCUCUCCCAGUGGCCUGAUCCACGUCGACAAAUUGACAGGAGACUCUAACCCAUGCAUUUGUUUACCCUGUCCAACCAGUGGUUUCCUCCGGGUUGAUCCGGUUAACCCAUUUUAAUUGAAGAAAAAAUUCUUCAAUUAAAAGAAAAAAAAAUAUGAGAUCAGAUGAUACACUCUUAACCCCCCAAAACUGCCUUUUGAGGGACAUGACUCAACUUUUCCCUGUCCAAGCAGUGGCUUUUCCGGGGUGAUCCAGUUAACCCAUUUUAAUUGAAGAAGAAUUUCUUCGAUUAAAAGAAAAAAACACAUGAGAUCAGAUGAUACAAUCAUAACCUCCAAAACAGCCUUUUGAGUGUCCGGACUCAACAACAAAUGAAAAAAUAACGGCACAGUUCAAUAACAUAUUCAAUAAAGUUAGGUGUUUGUUCCAAAACCAGCCUGUGUGUGUCUUUUGUUUGGGUCCCUUUUCGUGUAAUCCUACACUAAUGUUAAUUGAUGCUGUUUACAAAAUGUAUUACCAAAAUGAAGGUCAGCUCAAUAAAUGUAUUAUUAACCAUAAGGGUAUCAACCACCAAAAUGUCCAGUUUUUUAAGAACAUGAUGGCUUGUAUUUUUUGUUUUUCAUACUUAAAUACUCAGCUUUUUCUAAAAAAAAAUUCCCAUUCAUCCUUAUGGCGAAUUUUUCAAAUUUCAUUCUGCUAUUAUUUCAGCAUACAUUCAGCUAUAGAAACCGUGUUCUUGUAUCAGUCUGUACUUUUCAGCUUUUUCAAAUAUUCCUCUUCAAAACCACCUGACUUUCAACCUAUCCUUGUCCCUCAUACGUUGAGCUAGAGACACAAAUUCAAAGUUUUAAACAGAAGACCUUGAACUAUUGGGCAUGUAAUUAGCUUUUUAAAAUCUUUUAGGGUUUUGAAAUCAUCACAAUUUUAGUUUUAAGGAUUUUUAGCUCGUCUUCUGACUUUAUAAUUGCGUGAGCUAGAAUAUGAGACAUCAUCGCUAGAGAGCAGCUGGAAAAAUUGGAGAAGCUUCGUCUCAGCUUGAUUUGGAUUCCACAUCUUUUCCUUCACAUAGACAAUAUAUAUAUAGAAAUGUAAGAAGUCUUGUUGGCUUUCAGCUGAUGUUCUUAUUUCAGAUGUAGGACUUACAGUUUUGGCUGUAGGAGCCCCAGAGCGACAAGCAACUCCCCCAUAAGCUGCAAUGUUAAUUUUGAGCCUAAAUUUUGGAGGAGAGCAGACGGUACCUGUUUUGUCUCUCAGAGUUCAUCCACGUCUCCUCUCACUCAUUGCAAUAUGUUGGCCAUAACUGUUACACCUUUUUCAAAACUCGCAGGAGUUUGGGAGGCGUUUUCCCAUUCAUUCUUAUAGAGACACUUUCAGCUUUGGUUCUGCUACUUCUCCAGCAUAUAUGCGGCUAAAGAAACUGUUCAUGAACAUGGUUGAUCGCGGUAACGAUGACCUAAAAAUACCCAGUCUGAUGUCUGUCGAGUGUAGAGGCUGUUAAACCAAACUCC
ensembl:lncRNA